AUGACACUUGGAAGACCCCAACCCAUUAUAGCCACCAUGGUGGGGUUCAUGAGAUGAGAAACAGUGACUCCGGUUAAAAUGCAGUACACUUUUAUAAGCCAUUAAAAUCAGAGGUGAACGAGGAAGCUCUAUUAAAUUACCGUGGGCAGUAUCUUUUGGCUUCUACAAGAUUAACAGCACAUUUCACAAUAGAUGUCUUAAGAAAUUUAACUAACCAUUCAUUUAAAUCUAACAUGAAUAAGCUGCAGUUAAACAAGUAUUUUAUGUCCCAAGUUUAACUGACUCUAAUAGACAAGCCUAAAUCAUGUUUUCAGAAUCAAAAUUGUCUUUUGUGACAGCAUCUCCUUGCCAGACGGUCCUUCCAAUAGGGACAAGUACUUCAGAGUAAGGGCAAGCGUGCCUAACAGGUAAAGACAGCAAGAUACUUCCCAGAAGUCUGGUGAACUGUUCAAAGUCCCAGUCUGUUGGAAACAAAGGAGAUUAUGCUACUUCAGAAAGGUAGUUUUGUUUUGAAGGAAAUUAAGAUCCCUUUACCAAUCUCUCUAAUGCCCUUCUCAUUGAGAAGAAGGGUAAACUGAGGGAGAGAACCUGGCCAUGGGUCCCUAAAGGGACUGCCUCCCCUGUGCCUUGGCACUUACUAUAUUAUAUAUAGUAUAGUAGCACUAAAUGCUACUAUAUAAUGUUAAGUAUUGUCAAAGCAUUAAACAAGGACUUCCCAACUAGACUGGGAGCAUACCAAAGGCAGGGACCAAGGUGAACUAUCUGAACAUUACCAGGACCUUCUUUGAGAUCUGUUCAAAUGUUUGCUGUAGAUGUUGGUAAUGUUGUUAGGUAGAUGAGUUAGUUAAUAAAUAGAAUUUAGAAGUGCAAGAGCACCCAAUUCCCUCUAAAAGUUGAGCAGUUCACUCUUUGCCUUAGUUAAUAUGGAGCAUAUACCUUCUGUGUAGGAGCAAUACAUGGAAAAUGAGGGUAGAAGUUCACACAUUGUAUCCAUUUAUUAAUAUAUUUAUACACACUUGGUUAUUUAGAAAAUGCAACAAAGUGUAAAAUCAUCAGAAUAUUUAAAUAGGCCAGAACCACAAAUGCGUCUUUACUUUCUCCAAUAAUUUUUUGGUUGAAAGUCACGCCAGUUAUAUCACCAUUUUGCUGAGUAUAGGCUGUAGAACUGGUCCUGCUUGGUAAUAGUUAUUAUAGGUACAAUUAUUCCAUGGUUUAAUAAUUUAGGGAAAUUCCAGGUGAAACAAAGUUAAGAGAGAUUUCUUUAUUACAGAGUUUCUCAAAUUUUUGAAUUAUGCCAACACGCUUUCUGAAUCUUCAAGGUUGGAAGGCAGGUAGGAUGGAUUCACUAGCAUCAUGUAAUUCUUUAUGGAACAAUUAAGGGACAAGGGAUCUGAGGAACACACUUUGGGAAAUGCUAAAUCAGACACUUUUCUAUUGUAGGCUCCUUCUGUUAGAGAAACUUCACCAUCCAAGACCUGAAAUGCAAGACCUGCAAUUCUGUAAAACUUCCUGGAGUGGUGGUUCUCUAUCCUGGCUGCCCAUUAGAAUCACCAGGGAGCUUUAAACAGGCCAGUGCCCAAGCCCCAUCCCAGGCCAGCUACAUCAGCAUCUAUGAGGGUGACUUUACAGCUUCUCUCAUCAAGAAGUGAGAGAAACAGAGUCCAUCAAGAGGCACUUUACAUAAAGCAGCUCUCUACAUCCUCCCUGAAGCCUUUGGAGAGGAAUACUCUGCAUUUCACCCAGAGGAAAGUGAGGCUCAGAGUGCUGAUUGAAAUGUAUCCGCCAUCACACUGAGAGUAGGUGGUACGGUGAGAUUCCACCCUGGUCUCCCAGACUCCUGGCUGAGCUCCCUGCCGCCUGCUCCAGGCCCAGAUUGAAUGACUCUGGGUUGUGUGACAGGACACUCAAUUCACUCUUUCUGCUGGAAACACAUUACACUUUCUGCCAGUGACCACCGAAGAGCAGGCCUAUGUAUCACGAAUGCAUUUCUAUCCCAUUUUUUUUCCAUUUUAUAGUUGGCCCUGUAAAGACAUGUCUCAAAUUAGCAUAUUCAGAGAUCCCAGCUAUUUUAUUUUUUCUAAUAUCCUUUAUGAGGCAUCCUUUUGCUUGCUUCCUAAAAAAUUAAUAAUGUAUAUUUUGGAUUCAUUUUUCCCUUGUCUUGCUUUCAUUUUGUACAGUGUGUUCUUAAUACAGAUAUUUCUGUGAAAGUAAGAAACAGAUUUAUGGAUACAUUAAAACUUUAACAUUCAGCAAUAAAAUCCGAUAUCAAUUAAAUAAGAUAUAUGACUGCAAUUUUGUCCUGCAAGAGGCACAUAUUUUCUUAACGCGCAACAGAUCUAGUAUUAUCCUUCUUGUUUUUGUGCUGCAAAGAGCACGUCACCCAAGGACACCCAAGGAACUUCUGCAGGAAGAGAACCAAAUGCAUUCUCUCCUACUUUAUAGUUCAAGCCACAAAGAGCAGGACCGUGGGCUCCAAGCCCAGGGGCUGGUGUCGCACUCCUCCCUUCCUGUCACUCUUGAGUGUGGCCUGCAUUUCUUCUCCAUCCUCUCUGCUCUUUAUUGUCCCUACUUGAAUAUAAGACCUGCCUGAUCUCCUUCCAGGUAAGCUUUACAAGGUGAGGUUUGGCAAGCACUUUAAGAUGCCCUGGAGAGAAAGUGUCCAGUAAAUGCAGCCCAUUUCUUCUUGUUUCCUUGCAGCCACAGAACAUUGAGCACUUCCAUUCUCUGAAGACCUUUAGGCAGGGACUGAAUGCCCAGGUUGACAGGAGGCUUCGUGCUAGGAGCUGGGCCGGACUGCCUGCUCAGCACUGGUGUUUACACGUCUCCUGCAGUUGUCUGCUGAGGCUCUCCUCUGGUGCUUGCAGUGGUGCAGCGGUUCUGAUCUUUCUUCACAUAGUCCAGCUCUUUCCUAUUAGCAAGUCACUGAGUCAGAAUUUGGAUAAGCCAGUUGCUUGUUUCUUUCCCAAAGACUUUGUCAAGCGGAUAUCUGAUUCUUAAAUUUUAUUUUUAGAGCUAGAAAGAAUCUUACUGAUCAAAGUCUCUUAAAGCUGAGUAUGUAAUUACUGAGGGAAACUUAUUAAAAUGCAGGUUUCAAUUCCAAAGGUCUAGAGAGACACAGGAGAUUUUGCAUGUCUAACAAGUUCCCCAGAUGGGGCUGAGGCUGCUCAUCAGAGAGCCAGACACUGAAUAGGACGUUCUAGAGCUCAACACUGUCUGACAGGCCUUUCUGUGAUGAUGGAAAUGUUCUGUAUCUGUGCUGUCUUACACGACCGGCACUAGCUGUAUGAUGAUUGAGCACUUGAAAUAGUGCCAGUGUGACUAAGGAGUUGAAUUUUUAACUUUAUUUAAUUUUAAUUAAUUUAAAUUUAAAUAGUCACGCGUGGCUGGUGUCUAGGUGUUGAAGAGUGCAGCUCUAGACGAUUGACACCUAGCUGGCUGGUUUCCACAGAUGAGGAAAUGAAAAUCCAAAAUGGCAAAGGGACUCACUGGGGCCAUCCUGGCAUUGGAGGCAGAGCUGGCAGGGAGACCCCAGUUUCCCACUACUCAGUGACACAGGGUUGCUGUCUCAUCUCUGACCUCUCAUGAACCCUGUUUUAAAGUCCUUACCGGUACUCCUGAAUAAUGGAGUUUAAAUUUCCCACAUAACAAACUUGCCUCAGGCUCCACAAAAUAAAAACUAUAGCCUAUGCCUCUAUCUGAGACCUGGAAAAAAAAGAACCAUGACAGAUAAUAGUUAUAAAUUUGUUAACCAAGUGCCUGGCCACUGCUUUAGCAUCUCACAUGCAUCAGGUCUAAUCUUCAUAGCAGCUCUUUAUUAUUAUGUAUACAUCUUUUAGAUGAGGAAACUGAGGCUCAGAGAGGUUAAAUAACUUACCCAAUCUCACACAGCUAAUAAGUGGAAGAGCCAGGAUUCUAACCCAUGUUUAAAUGACACGGAGGGUUCAGGAUGAGGAGCCUCUCAGAUCCUCUUUUAACAUGGUCUUCAAAGAGGAGCUUCUAAUUUUGGUUGAAAUAUUCCCAGCAUCAAGCACAUAUCCUGAAAUGGAUUCAGUAAUGCUGGCAUAAGCUCUCCUUGUGCUGUCACCUGCACCUGGGGUCCUCCACCUUCUCUGCCAGCACAGCCAUACUGAACCCUCCAGAGCCAACCGUGAAUCUCCUUUCCCUGCGCCAACUUUUGCUCAGCUGUGUCAUGCUGCCACGUUCUACCUAGGCUGCUCCAGCCAGCGUUAGGUUUUCACUUAUGCAUCCCUUAAACCAGGCCCAUCUUGGUGUCAGGCCCAUCCUGGUCUGAGGUCCUUGCUGCAGGGCCCUCAUUCUCAACUGAGCCAUCGCUCCAGGUCAGGGAGAUAAGAAGUGCAUUAAGUGGUGGUCCCACCUUCUCUGUUGUGCUGGGGGUCAGGAUUGGGCCAAUCAGAGCAGGGAGGGCAGCACUCCACAUUUCAAAUGCUGACGAGCACUGUACAGAGUGAAGUAAAUCAGGAGUUGCAGAUGCUUCCUGGAGGUGUGAGCCGUGGUCUCAGGGGCCAGAGAGCCCAAACCCCAGUUUAAAUUACAGGGGCAGCAGGCCCUAGCCCAGUAGAUUUUCUUCAAGGCUAUAUAGAGACCCAGUGUUGCUAGAUUUCCUGAUUUUUUUCAAAGUGAGGAAUCUAGAUUUCUUUAGGUGACAUCUCCUAAUUAGAAAAAAGAAAAAUUGCCUCAAAUUAUUUUUAAAUGCUCUGACUGGCUGGUUUUGGUUGUUGACUGCCAGUCUGCAACCCUUGGUCUUUGGGGAAUCCUCAUUGCCCCUCCUUUGCCUUCUGCUCUGCCUCCCUGCUCACCAUAUGUUCCCUCUUCUCCUCUCAUCUGAAGUACCUUUCCCUCUUUUUAUCCCCUGGCAUUUUCAAAUCAUGCUGUAGGUCAGUUUCCAAUCUCAUGCAAAAGACUUUUCCUUAUGCCUUGGGAAUACUUAUUUUUGCCCAAAGAUCUCUCACUCUAUUUUAUGCCCUCCUCUCAUGCUGCUAGAUGGAGCCCCUCCCUCCCUCUUUCAAUGGCAUCUUCUGGCAGCUUCUAAAAGGCUAACCUGAUUCCUUUAACCGCAAUUUCUCUUUAUUUUGUCUCCAUUAUCAAUAAUGUCUACUGCCUGAGUCAGCAUCCUUGUCUGCCCAGGACAGAGCACCAGCUUCUUGCUUUUACCAACAGCAACAUCCUGAGAGUCAUGACCACUUUCCUGCCUUUAUCCUUAAACUACACCCUGGGCUGGGGAACCACUUCUGAAGUCCACAGGAGAGUACCACCAAGGCCCCACCUCUUCCAUGGGGUUAAAGCAACUUUGGUGGCUGGGUGGGAGGAAACAAGGGCUGGUGAUGAGGAGACCCUGGUCCAAGCUGGAGCCAUGCAGUCUGUGCGGUCUGUGUGUCCAGCCUGAGCCCCCCACUGUCUGCUUUCAUGUAGGGCCAAGCUGUUGCCAUGGGAAACAGAAGCAGCCUUCUCCAUCACCCUUGCACAUGCUAACAAACACCGACCGUGAAGCACACACAAGGCGGCCUCAUUGUUUUCCCUGGGGGAUGCCAGUAGAAUCCCUGGCAUGGAGGGCAUAGGCUCCCAGCUGCAGCCCCACCCUCAGAGCCCUGUUAGCCUGCUUUGUUGGGAGUCAAGGAGAACAACAUUUUUGAACAUCGUCCUUUGAGCACAGGUCAGCUGUCAAGGUGCAAGAAUGCAUCCUUGGGUCAGACAGAAGGACCGCUCAGCAGCCAGGACAAACGCAGCCAUGAGCUAAUAACUAGAGCCUCCCAAUGAAUGGCCCACCCCAUGAGCCUACUAGAUGGGGACACUGAAGACGCACAGCACCAGUGCCACUCCAGGUCUGCCCAACAGAAACCCACAGGAUUGCUGCUUUUGCAGGUGUGAGAGAGAUCAAUGUGGCCUUCUCUGUGGCAGGAUCUGGAGAUGAGGACCUCGGGAGCUGUCCUAUUGCUCCCACGUUUCCCCACUUGCAAAUCACCCACCUUGUCUGAUAUCCAGAAAUUUCCAUUAAAUGAGAUUAGCUCAUUCAGCCCCUGCUCCUCAUGCAGAAGCCGUGGCUUAAGCUCAACAAUCCCAAAUAUGGUCUGUAGACACCCUGGGGAAAAAUAAACCCAGGCUGACGAUCCCUCUAUUCUUCCUGUGCUCCUCCAACCAGUCCCUUGUGGGAACAUGGUCUGAACCCAUCAGGCACUCUCACUGUCUUUAGGACUUGAUAAGAAUAGCAUUUUAAAGGAGACUGAGACAAAGGGCAGAGUGGAAAAGGAAAAAAGCAAGGAGCAGGAAGAUGGGAGACAUGUGGUCCAGACUGCCUCCACCCGGAACAGGCUGUGAGACCUUGGGUAGGUCACUUCCCCUCUCAGGACUACAGCUCCCUCAGGUUAGCCAAGUUCUAAGGUCUCUGCUAGCCCAAUAAUCUGAGAUAAAAGGCAAAGGAGGCUGCGAGCUGUCUCCAGGCCCUGGCGUUCUGCAGCAGCCCAGCAUCUGCAAGCGGGACCAAAGAAUAGAGGGUUUCUCAUCCUUUCCUUUCUUCCUUGUUAAACUCUUGCAACCUUAUAGCCUGGUCGGGAGCAAACCGUUCUUUCAGACUGUCAAAAUAGCUCAAGCAGGCACCGAGGCCUCUGUUUGAGGCAGAAUGAAUUCCUCAUAACUUUGUUUUGAUCAUUUUUGCCUUAGGAAAGCCAGCAAAUGCCUUCCUCUGUGAAAGCAGCCUUCACACAAGAAAGGGAAGGUUAGUGAAAGCUACCGGGCAAACGGAAGAGCAUUACAGGACAGUUCAGCGCAUCACUGUGCACGGCGUUGUCAGCAAGGCCUGGCAGCUCUUCUGUGGCAGGACAGGGCCAGCCCGGCUCUGCCCCUCUGCCAGGAGGCUGGGCGACAGGGAUUGAGCCUUCCAAAGCUGGGGUAUGGUGCGUUUACACAAGCUGCUCUGUGAGGCGGAUAUUCAUGCCAUAGUCUUCCCUGAGAUGGGAGUAUUCAUAUCCCUCAGGCCAACAUUAACCAAGAUUUUCUGCUAUUUCUGCCCAGAGGUAAACUGCCAGGGGUAGAGGAGGGGGCUUAAAGUAUCCUCUGGUCUCAAUUGUUUAUUUCAAUUUACUAAAUUUUUCCAUAAAAAAGAGUAAUUGCAAGA